AUUGAACGCUGGCGGCAUGCUUUACACAUGCAAGUCGAACGGUAACAGGUCUUUCGGGAUGCUGACGAGUGGCGAACGGGUGAGUAAUGUAUCGGAACGUGCCCAGUAGUGGGGGAUAACUACUCGAAAGAGUGGCUAAUACCGCAUGAGAUCUCUGGAUGAAAGCGGGGGACCGUAAGGCCUCGCGCUACUGGAGCGGCCGAUAUCAGAUUAGGUUGUUGGUGAGGUAAAGGCUCACCAAGCCGACGAUCUGUAGCUGGUCUGAGAGGACGACCAGCCACACUGGGACUGAGACACGGCCCAGACUCCUACGGGAGGCAGCAGUGGGGGAAUUUUGGACAAUGGGCGCAAGCCUGAUCCAGCAAUGCCGCGUGCAGGACGAAGGCCUUCGGGUUGUAACUAGCUUUGUACGGAACGAAAGACCUUCUUCUAAUACAGGAGGGUCAUGACGGUACCGUAAGAAUAAGCACCGGCUAACUACGUGCCAGCAGCC
rnacentral:rRNA from 1 species